AUGGUUUCAGGAUGAUUCAAAUACAUUACAUUUACUGUACACUUUAUUUCUGUUAUUAUUACAUUGGCUUCACCUCAGAGCAUCAGGCAUUAGAUCCCUGAGUCACAGGAAAGCAUCGUACUGUAACGAGUUGUUGCAAGGAUCAAAUAAGAUGAUGGAUACAGAAGAGUUAUAGCCACGUGGCAUAUGAUGUCUUAGUACCCCAACCAGGGAUCAAACCCCUUGCUGUGGGAUGGUGGCGUCUUAAGCACUGGACCACGGAGAUGGCCCAGGUUGGAUCCCUGAUCAUGGAACUAGAUCCAUACGCCACAAAUAAGAGUUCACGUGUUGCUCCUAAAGAUCCUGCACAGGGCAACAAAGAUCAAAGACACCGCCACUAAG
ensembl:lncRNA